rnacentral:rRNA from 1 species
CUACGGGGCGCUGCAGUGAGGAAUAUUGCACAAUGGGGGGAACCCUGAUGCAGCAACGCCGCGUGGAGGAUGACGCAUUUCGGUGUGUAAACUCCUUUUAUAUGUCAAGAAAAUGACGGUAGCAUAUGAAUAAGCACCGGCGAACUCCGUGCCAGCAGCCGAGGUAAUACGGAGGGGUGCAAGCGUUACUCGGAAUCACUGGGCGUAAAGGACGCGUAGGCGGGUUGGAAAGUCAGGUGUGAAAUCCUACAGCUUAACUGUAGAACUGCACUUGAAACUUCUAAUCUAGAGUAUGGGAGGGGGAGAUGGAAUUAGUGGUGUAGGGGUAAAAUCCGUAGAUAUCACUAGGAAUACCUAAAGCGAAGGCGAUCUCCUGGAACAUUACUGACGCUAAGGCGUGAAAGCGUGGGGAGCAAACAGGAUUAGAUACCCGGGUAGUC